AUCAAAACCAUGGCAGAAUCUGGCACCCAUGCUGAGCAAAUAGAGUCUUUUAUCGUUAAUAAUCAGAAUGUUCCUGAGUUACCUAAACAUGAAGCUGUCUGGUCCUUCUCUUCCUUGUCUGCAGUCGACCAAGGUUCAGCCAACCAAGGUGGUGCUGAUACCCAGGGGGUUGAUUUCCAACCUGUCCGUGAAUUCAGUGCUCCAAAUCAUCAGAAGGCACCAGGAAUGGUUUCAAGUUGGCCUCUUAACCAUUGGAGAACAGCACCCGUCUUCAGAACACCUCUCAUAAACCAGCAUGCAAGCAUGCAAGAGGCAAAGGUCAAUGAUGCUGGACUU
rnacentral:lncRNA from 1 species